AUGGGGGCAGACUGAUGGAUUAGACCAGUGCUCUCCAACCCUGUUCCUUGGAGAGCUACCCUCCUGUAGGUUUUAACUCCAACCUUGUUCCUUGGAGAGCUACCCUCCUGUAGGUUUUAACUCCAACCCUGUUCCUGGAGAUCUACCCUCCUGUAGGGUUUAACUCCAACCCUGUUCCUGGAGAUCUACCCUCCUGUAGGUUUUAACUCCAACCCUGUUCCUGGAGAUCUACCCUCCUGUAGGUUUUAACUCCAACCCUGUUCCUGGAGAGCUACCCUCCUGUAGGUUUUAACUCCAACCCUGUUCCUGGAGAGCUACCCUCCUGUAGGUUUUAACUCCAACCCUGUUCCUGGAGAGCUACCCUCCUGUAGGUUUUAACUCCAACCCUGUUCCUGGAGAGCUACCCUCCUGUAGGUUUUAACUCCAACCCUGUUCCUUGGAGAGCUGCCCUCCUGUAGGUUUUAACAAGAUUAAUAGACAGGAACAGUUUCAGGACAGAAGUACAUACAUCUAAAAAUGGCACACAUAGCCUACAUAUUAAUACAUACACACAAACGAUGGCGUUGUGCCAUGAGGGGUUGUUUUGUCUGUUUUUUUUUAACCAGGUUUGCUGUUUAUUUCAGCAAUAUGAGGUGGAAGGGAGUUCCAUGCAAUAAUGGCUCUAUAUAAUACUGUACACUUUCUAGAAUUUUUUCAGGAUUUUUGAGACUAUGAAAAGACCCGGGUGGCAUGUCUGGUGGGAUAAGUGUGUGGGUGUCAGAGCUGUGUGUAAGUUGACUAAGCAAACAACUUGGAAUUUUCAACACGUGAAUGUUUCUUAUGAAAAGAAGUGAUGCAGUCAGAAUCUCCUUAACUCUUAGCCAAGAAAGACUGGCAUGCAUAGUAUUUACAGUGACUUCGGAAAGUAUUCAGACCCCUUGACCUUUUCCACAUUAUGUUACAUUGUAUUCCUCUUUAAGGAAUACCUAGGAUAG